rnacentral:rRNA from 1 species
CCUACGGGCGGCAGCAGUGGGGAAUAUUGCACAAUGGGGGAAACCCUGAUGCAGCGACGCCGCGUGAGUGAAGAAGUAAUUCGGUAUGUAAAGCUCUAUCAGCAGGGAAGAAAAUGACGGUACCUGAGUAAGAAGCCCCGGCUAACUACGUGCCAGCAGCCGCGGUAAUACGGAGGGGGCAAGCGUUAUCCGGAUUUACUGGGUGUAAAGGGAGCGUAGACGGUAGGGCAAGUCUGGAGUGAAAGGCGGGGGCUCAACCCCCGGACUGCUUUGGAAACUGUACGGCUGGAGUGCAGGAGAGGUAAGUGGAAUUCCUAGUGUAGCGGUGAAAUGCGUAGAUAUUAGGAGGAACACCAGUGGCGAAGGCGGCUUACUGGACUGUAACUGACGUUGAGGCUCGAAAGCGUGGGGAGCAAACAGGAUUAGAUACCCUUGUAGUC